rnacentral:tRNA from 1 species
GUGCUUGUAGCUCAAUGGUAGAGUGUUGGCUUACAGAGCCAAAGGUUGUAGGUUCAAGUCCUACCAAGCAUG